rnacentral:rRNA from 1 species
UACGGGAGGCAGCAGUGGGGAAUAUUGCACAAUGGGCGCAAGCCUGAUGCAGCCAUGCCGCGUGUAUGAAGAAGGCCUUCGGGUUGUAAAGUACUUUCAGCGGGGAGGAAGGGAGUAAAGUUAAUACCUUUGCUCAUUGACGUUACCCGCAGAAGAAGCACCGGCUAACUCCGUGCCAGCAGCCGCGGUAAUACGGAGGGUGCAAGCGUUAAUCGGAAUUACUGGGCGUAAAGCGCACGCAGGCGGUUUUGUUAAGUCAGAUGUGAAAUCCCCGGGCUCAACCUGGGAACUGCAUCUGAUACUGGCAAGCUUGAGUCUCGUAGAGGGGGUAGAAUUCCAGGUGUAGCGGUGAAAUGCGUAGAGAUCUGGAGGAAUACCGGUGGCGAAGGCGGCCCCUGGGACGAGACUGACGCUCAGGUGCGAAAGCUGGGGAGCAAACAGGAUUAGGAUACC